GUACUAGGUGAUCACCCGCGCUAC
rnacentral:siRNA from 1 species